GGCAAGGUAGCUGAGUGAAUAGGCGUUAGGCUGUAGUCCUUUUUACAGGGGUUUAAUUCCCCUUCUUGCCA
rnacentral:tRNA from 1 species